UCCUGGGGAUGCUUCAGUUUGAUUCCU
rnacentral:piRNA from 1 species